rnacentral:rRNA from 1 species
GACGAACGCUGGCGGCGUGCUUAACACAUGCAAGUCGAACGGUAAGGCCCUUCGGGGUACACGAGUGGCGAACGGGUGAGUAACACGUGGGUGAUCUGCCCUGCACUUCGGGAUAAGCCCGGGAAACUGGGUCUAAUACCGGAUAGGACCACUGCCUGCAGGGGUGGUGGGGGAAAGCUUUUGCGGUGUGGGAUGGGCCCGCGGCCUAUCAGCUUGGUGGUGGGGUGAUGGCCUACCAAGGCGACGACGGGUAGCCGGCCUGAGAGGGUGGACGGCCACACUGGGACUGAGAUACGGCCCAGACUCCUACGGGAGGCAGCAGUGGGGAAUAUUGCACAAUGGGCGCAAGCCUGAUGCAGCGACGCCGCGUGAGGGAUGACGGCCUUCGGGUUGUAAACCUCUUUCAGCACCGACGAAGCGCAAGUGACGGUAGGUGCAGAAGAAGGACCGGCCAACUACGUGCCAGCCGCCGCGGUAA